rnacentral:rRNA from 1 species
UGCAAGUCGAGGGGCAGCAUUGGAGUAGCAAUACUUCAGAUGGCGACCGGCGCACGGGUGAGUAACACGUAUCCAACCUGCCGCUUACUCGGGGAUGGCCUUUCGAAAGAAAGAUUAAUACCCGAUGGUAUAUCUGAAAGGCAUCUUUCAGCUAUUAAAGAAUUUCGGUCAUUGAUGGGGAUGCGUUCCAUUAGGUUGUUGGCGGGGUAACGGCCCACCAAGCCAUCGAUGGAUAGGGGUUCUGAGAGGAAGGUCCCCCACAUUGGAACUGAGACACGGUCCAAACUCCUACGGGAGGCAGCAGUGAGGAAUAUUGGUCAAUGGACGAGAGUCUGAACCAGCCAAGUAGCGUGAAGGAUGACUGCCCUAUGGGUUGUAAACUUCUUUUAUACGGGAAUAAAGUUAGGCACGUGUGCCUUUUUGUAUGUACCGUAUGAAUAAGGAUCGGCUAACUCCGUGCCAGCAGCCGCGGUAAUACGGAGGAUCCGAGCGUUAUCCGGAUUUAUUGGGUUUAAAGGGAGCGUAGGCGGAUGCUUAAGUCAGUUGUGAAAGUUUGCGGCUCAACCGUAAAAUUGCAGUUGAUACUGGGUGUCUUGAGUACAGUAGAGGCAGGCGGAAUUCGUGGUGUAGCGGUGAAAUGCUUAGAUAUCACGAAGAACUCCGAUUGCGAAGGCAGCUUGCUGGACUGUAACUGACGCUGAUGCUCGAAAGUGUGGGUAUCAACAGGAUAGAUACCUGGUAGUCACACAGUAACGAUGAUACUCGCUGUUGCGAUAUACAGUAGCG